AAUAAAAAUUUUAAUUUUAUUUUUUGUUUAUUUUAAUUUUUAUAAUAAAAAUAAUUUUUGUUAUAAUAGUUUUAGUAUAUUUUAUAGAAAAAAUUGUUUGUUUAAUAGUUUAUUAUUACUGUGGAGGAAUUAAUGAAAUAUUUUGAAAUAUAUUUUUAUAUAAAAGUUUAUUUAAUUUAUAGUACCUUUUGUAUCAGGGUUUAUUUAAAAUAUAUUAUUUAUAUAAUUUUCUCGAUUUAAAAAGGGUAAUUUUGGUAUAUUAGUUAAUGUUGAAUUAUUAUUAAUAAUACUAAAAUAGAAAUGAAAUGUUAUUCGUUUUUUAAGAUAUCUAGUUUUUCAAGAUUUAAAUUAAAUUUAGUUAUUUUAAUGUAAUAAUAUUACUAUUAAUAUUUUAUUAUAUUAAAAUAAUAAUAUUUAGGGGGAUAAGCUCUUAAUUAUUUAAUAUAAGUUAAAAGUUAAGUUUAAUGUUUGUAGGCUUUAAAUUAGCUUUCAUUUUGAGUUUGUUAUAAAUUUACUAAUUUAUUUUUAAAUUUUUUAAAUUCUUUAUUUUUUAUAUUGAAAUUAAUUCUUAAAUUUAUUUUGAAUUGUAAUAAUGAUUAAAUUAGUAUAAUAUUUUAUAUAAUGUUAAAUAUAUGAGAAUUUAUUAUAAGGAACUAGGCAAAAUAAUUAAUGCUCGCCUGUUUAUCAAAAACAUGUUUUUUUGAUUUAUAAUUUAAAAUUUGACCUGCCCACUGAAUGAAUUUUUAAAGGGCCGCGGUAUUUUGACCGUGCAAAGGUAGCAUAAUCAUUAGUCCUUUAAUUGUGGACUGGAAUGAAUGGUUUGACGAGGUAUUAACUGUCUCAUUAAAUAAUAAUUAGAAUUUAACUUUUAAGUUAAAAGGCUUAAAUUUAUAUAUAGGACGAGAAGACCCUAUAGAGCUUGAUAAUUAAUUUUAUAUUAAAUAUUUUGUGUAAAUCUUUUUUAUUAUAAAAUUAAUUAUUUUAUUGGGGUGAUAUAAAGAAUAAAAUAACUCUUUAUUAAUUAAAACAUUGAUUUAUGAUUAUUUGAUCCAUUAAUAAUGAUUAUAAGAUUAAGUUACCUUAGGGAUAACAGCGUAAUGUUUUUUGAGAGUUCUUAUCAACAAAAAAGAUUGCGACCUCGAUGUUGGAUUAAGGUAAAAAUUAGGUGUAGAAGUUUAAUGUUUUUGGUCUGUUCGACCAUUAAAUCCUUACAUGAUCUGAGUUCAGACCGGUGUAAGCCAGGUCGGUUUCUAUCCAUAUUUAUAUUAAAUGUUUUAGUACGAAAGGACCAAACAUUUGAAAUAAUUUUUACUUUAUGAAUAAUACUAAUAU
rnacentral:rRNA from 1 species